rnacentral:rRNA from 1 species
GACGAACGCUGGCGGCGUGCUUAACACAUGCAAGUCGAACGGAAAGGCCCUGCUUUUGUGGGGUGCUCGAGUGGCGAACGGGUGAGUAACACGUGAGUAACCUGCCCUUGACUUUGGGAUAACUUCAGGAAACUGGGGCUAAUACCGGAUAGGAGCUCCUGCUGCAUGGUGGGGGUUGGAAAGUUUCGGCGGUUGGGGAUGGACUCGCGGCUUAUCAGCUUGUUGGUGGGGUAGUGGCUUACCCAGGCUUUGACGGGUAGCCGGCCUGAGAGGGUGACCGGCCACAUUGGGACUGAGAUAGGGCCCAGACUCCUACGGGAGGCAGCAGGGGGGAAUAUUGCACAAUGGGCGCAAGCCUGAGGCAGCAACGCCGCGUGCGGGAUGACGGCCUUCGGGUUGUAAACCGCUUUCGCCUGUGACGAAGCGUUAGUGACGGUAAUGGGUAAAGAAGCACCGGCUAACUACGUG